GAUGAACGCUGGCGGCGUGCCUAAUACAUGCAAGUCGAGCGAACAGACGAGGAGCUUGCUCCUCUGACGUUAGCGGCGGACGGGUGAGUAACACGUGGAUAACCUACCUAUAAGACUGGGAUAACUUCGGGAAACCGGAGCUAAUACCGGAUAAUAUAUUGAACCGCAUGGUUCAAUAGUUAAAGACGGUUUUGCUGUCACUUAUAGAUGGAUCCGCGCCGCAUUAGCUAGUUGGUAAGGUAACGGCUUACCAAGGCGACGAUGCGUAGCCGACCUGAGAGGGUGAUCGGCCACACGGGAACUGAGACACGGUCCAGACUCCUACGGGAGGCAGCAGUAGGGAAUCGUCCGCAAUGGGCGAAAGCCUGACGGAGCAACGCCGCGUGAGUGAUGAAGGUCUUCGGAUCGUAAAACUCUGUUAUUAGGGAAGAACAAAUGUGUAAGUAACUAUGCACGUCUUGACGGUACCUAAUCAGAAAGCCACGGCUAACUACGUG
rnacentral:rRNA from 1 species